rnacentral:rRNA from 1 species
GACGAACGCUGGCGGCGUGCCUAAUACAUGCAAGUCGAACGCAGUGGGGACGGGUGAGUAACACGUGGGUAACCUCCCCAUCAGAGGGGAUAAAACUUGGAUACAGGUGCUAAACCGAUCCUGGUGGAUGGACCCGCGGUGCAUUAGCUAGUUGUUGAGGUAACGGCUCACCAAGGCAACGAUGCAUAGCCGAGCUGCGAGGGUGAUCGGCCACACUGGGACUGAGACACGGCCCAGACGCCUACGGGAGGCAGCAGUAGGGAAUCUUCGGCAAUGGACGAAAGGCUGAACGAGCAACGCCGCGUGAGUGAAGAAGGUUUUCGGAUCGUAAAACUCUGUUGUUAGAGAAGCGGUAUCUAACCAGAAAGCCCCGGCUAACUACGUGCCAGCAGCCGCGGUAAUAC